ensembl:lncRNA
GGGGGAAAAGGAAGUUCAUGUGAGAGAAAAGAGGAAGUGAAAAUAUUCUGAUAGAUGUUGGACUCCAGACAAUGUGACUGAAUAUUGUUUUUGCUGAAAGUGUAGCAAGAUUUCCGGCACUAUUCAGUCUCUUGUAUAAAACAACAACAAAAAAAGAGAGAGAGAGACGAUGAUGAGACUGCUUUGAAAUCAGCUGCUAAAGCAGUAGAGAAUGCUGCAGGUUCCAGGGGCAGCAGGCUAAGUACAGAAGCCCAGACCUCUCUCUAUCCAGUCAUCUCCUCCAGCUCUCAGAGACACUUACGUAUUCCCAAGCCACCCGUGAGAUAUAAUCUUCCCAGUGUGUUCUGAGACUAUCCUGGGGAUGCCACCUUCUAGGACAUGCCCAAAAAACGUCACCUAUGACACACCCGGGAGGUAACUUAGUUGAAUCCUCAAACCACAUCAACUUCCUUCUUUCAGUGUAGAGGAGAAGUGAUCUUUGAUCUGAGCACAAUCCUAUGUAGGAAGCUCAUUCCACUGCUUGUGCCUCUUCUGUCAGUCACUACCCAAAGCUUGUGACCAUGCGUGAGGGUAGGAGUGAGACUGACUGGGAAUUUGACAACUUCACUUUCAUCCUGAGCUCUCUGUCACCGCAACUGAUAGUUUAAUGCCUGCAUUACCGCCGAUGCCACACCGGUCUUUGAACAGUUUGCAGGAUGUUAUGCUUCUUUAGACCCUCUGCAAUACCAUCAUGGUAGAGGGAUUUGUCCACUGGAAUGAUCCCAGGAGCAGUUUAGAAAUCCUCUAAAUCAAUAAGGAGAAGGCCAGGGGACCAUAUUACCACCAGGCCACCCUGGAACCAGGCUUUAGUCCAUGGGACCCUGCUAGGCUCAGCUACAUGGUCUUGCCCUCCUUUCAGCCAACUACACGCAGGAGAGAACAUGGUUUGGACUGGGUAGAAGUCAGGUGUGGAGAGCCUGGCAGUGCC